CAAAAGGACGGUUUAGGGGAAGGAGGAAAAGUCUAUAUGGAGGAAAGAAGAAAUGAUGCAGUGUUGCAGUGAGCCAUCACGAGAUGCCAGCAUUGAGGCAGCAAGAACAGGAAAUAAAUCAAGUGCUUGGCCUUGAGAGGCACUUCACAUCAAGGAUAAUCUGGAAUGCACUCCUGCUUUGGAGACAGAUGGCAGCGAGGAAGUAGGUUGGAAGAAAGGAAUAAUAAAUAUCUGAAGGCUGCAGCUUCACAAGAGAAACACAUGAAAUGCUGAAAAAAAUGCAAAGAUGGCGUAUUGACUGCGACGUGAGAGCAAAGACAUUUCUUCUAUCCAUUCAACC